rnacentral:lncRNA from 1 species
UGUAAGUCACUGGCAGCAUAAAUGCUUUCUCUCCUAUAAACAUUCCUAAAAGAUGAAGGAAGGAAACUAACAAGAAUUGAGCUCUUAAUUGUCAGGCUCUGUGCCAAAUACCCUAAUAUGUGGUAGUUUCAUUUAAUUCCUCACUACAACACUAUUGAAGAAAGUGACUCAGAAAAAUCAAGAACUUUGCCAAGGUCAUCAGUCUACAAAGCAGAGCUGGGAUUCAAACUCAAGCCCAGCUUAAAAGUCUACUCUUGCCACAUGCAGCCACGCGACAGUGUAACAAUACAAAAGAAAAAGAAAGUUUAAUCUCCAGUAAAUUAAUUUCAUGCCAGAAAGAGAGGGUUCAGGUACCUAACAGAGACAAAGUCCGGCAGAAAAACCAUCCCAGUUAACCUGACUCUUUUCUGUAGCUCUAUAAAGUGUCAUAGAUUUGUGGGUGUUUUCAGAAAAUUGACAACUUCUGGAUGGAGCAUAACUUUUUGUUCAUCUCAAGACUUCCUCGAUACUGCUCUGCACCAUGUUGUCUUCACUCCAGGACCCAGGCUAACAGAGCAACCUCUCUGGGGAACAUUAAGUCUGUGGCAGAGGCCAAGGAAGCAUGACAAAACACAAGCUCGUUCUUAAAGUGUCUGUCCCCACUUCACCAACAAAGCAAGUCAUAUGGCCACUCCUGAUAGCAACAGAGAGGGAACGUGAAAUCCUCCUUCAGGAGCAGCACCCCAUGGAGGGGCAGCCAACAAUUUGAGCGUUAAUACAAUCCACCACUGUGGCCUUGAUGGAGACCUGUCAGGACAUCCCCAAAUUGCCCAGAAGGAUCGCCAUCUAUAGAGCCCAAGGAGCCAAGUCUCAAGAUUUCACAAGAGUGGGCCAGGACAGCAGAGACCUGCUCAUUUUUCUCAGCCGCACGUGCGGUGUUGAAUUGAGCUCCUCUGACAUUGACAGGUGGCGCUGGUUUCCCAGAGACUCCCUGAGGCGAGUCAAGGUGUUGCUCCUGGUCUUUGUAAUUCCUAGGCUGUGUGAUCCCAGCACCUAAAGAGGCAGACCUCACCCCUCGCCCAGCCCCUGGGGCAGGGUAGAUAGAGGAGCGCCUCCACCAGAGGCUGCAUUUCUGUCAGUCAAGGACGCUCUACUCUGACUCACUUCUUUUUACAGCGCGUCAGAGAGCAAAUUAGAUCACUUUGAAGGAAUACAUUAUGACCCAUCUGUCCAUUCGAAUAAUUCACUGACCUUCCUUUUUCCACCCUAGCAG